rnacentral:rRNA from 1 species
AGUCGAACGAGUGAGAGAGAGCUUGCUUUCUCGAGCGAGUGGCGAACGGGUGAGUAACGCGUGAGGAACCUGCCUCAAAGAGGGGGACAACAGUUGGAAACGACUGCUAAUACCGCAUAAGCCCACGACCCGGCAUCGGGUAGAGGGAAAAGGAGCAAUCCGCUUUGAGAUGGCCUCGCGUCCGAUUAGCUAGUUGGUGAGGUAACGGCCCACCAAGGCGACGAUCGGUAGCCGGACUGAGAGGUUGAACGGCCACAUUGGGACUGAGACACGGCCCAGACUCCUACGGGAGGCAGCAGUGGGGAAUAUUGCACAAUGGGGGAAACCCUGAUGCAGCGACGCCGCGUGGAGGAAGAAGGUCUUCGGAUUGUAAACUCCUGUUGUUGAGGAAGAUAAUGACGGUACUCAACAAGGAAGUGACGGCUAACUACGUGCCAGCAGCCGCGGUAAAACGUAGGUCACAAGCGUUGUCCGGAAUUACUGGGUGUAAAGGGAGCGCAGGCGGGAAGACAAGUUGGAAGUGAAAUCCAUGGGCUCAACCCAUGAACUGCUUUCAAAACUGUUUUUCUUGAGUAGUGCAGAGGUAGGCGGAAUUCCCGGUGUAGCGGUGGAAUGCGUAGAUAUCGGGAGGAACACCAGUGGCGAAGGCGGCCUACUGGGCACCAACUGACGCUGAGGCUCGAAAGUGUGGGUAGCAAACAGGAUUAGAUACCCUGGUAGUCCACACUGUAAACGAUGAUUACUAGGUGUUGGAGGGUUGACCCCUUCAGUGCCGCAGUUAACACAAUAAGUAAUCCACCUGGGGAGUACGACCGCAAGGUUGAAACUCAAAGGAAUUGACGGGGG